AUUGAACGCUGGCGGCAGGCCUAACACAUGCAAGUCGAACGCGUGGCGCACGGGUGAGUAAUGUCUGGGAAACUGCCUGAUGGAGGGGGAUAUCUACUGGAAACGGUAGCUAAUACCGCAUUCCAUCAGAUGUGCCCCUAUGGGAUUAGCUAGGAGGUGGGGGAAAGGCUCACCUAGGCGGCGAUCCCUAGCUGGUCUGAGAGGAUGACCAGCCAAACUGGAACUGAGACAAGGGCCCAACUCCUACGGGAGGCAGGAGUGGGGAAUAUUGCAAAAUGGGGGGAAGCCUGAUGCAGGCAUGCCGCGUGUAGGAAGAAGGCCUUCGGGUUGUAAAGUACUUUCAGCGGGGAGGAGUUAACCGGAGAAGAAGGAACGGCUAACUCCGUGCCAGCAGCCGCGGUAAUUC
rnacentral:rRNA from 1 species